rnacentral:lncRNA from 1 species
GCCGCCCUAAAUGCAUCUGCAAGGUCGGUAGCGAGAAUGAUGGCUUCUUCCAAAAGUUCUAGCUGGACUGCAUAGGCUAAUUAUAAGGUGAAUUUAUGUCCUCCAAGUUUUAGUCCCUUGUAGUUGAUGAGCUGUCCUCAAAUGCUAAGCUAACUAUUAUAUAUAUAUAUAUAUAUAUAUAUAUAUAUAUAUGUAAGUAUUAGUCAUUAAAUGUAACACACAUUGCAUGUGCAAAUAAUAUCUUGUUAUACAUGUGUUGAAUCCUCAGGCGUAGAUUGUCACUCACUGAGCUUUACAAUUUGUCUUGAGUAAAACUUGCUUAUUGAAUGCAUAACCUUGAUUUUUAUCUUUCGAUUAACAUGUCAUCUAAUUUCAUAUAUCAAUAGUUAUCUGGUAAAGUUAAUUGCAUUAGAGUUUCCUAUUAAGUCGUCCAGUCGGUGAAAUUGCUCAUGUGGCUUCCCAAAUGCAUCUCGUACUAGUUGAUUCAUACUUUGUGAGCGCGAUCACGCCAAGAACCUUGUUACAUUGCCAGUACCUAGUAUAAGAAAUAACUGAAACUCUCGAGACCUUGUUGCAUUGUAAUUAUAUAUAACAAUGAUAACAUACUUAUGAUUUCUCACCUGAUCAGUUAUGAGACUUGUAGCAGAGGCACUUUCAGUGCUUUGCUUUUUGUUAUGGUCCUCUUCCACUUCUGUCUGUAAUCAAUAGAUGGUAAAAGUGACAGAGCCCCAAACAUUGCCUCGUCAUGAGCAGCCUUUAUUUUCUCCUCUAUUUUUGGCCUUAAAUAUGACAAGAAUGUUGAAGUAACAAUAAUAUUCAAAUGACAAACUCUUGCAACUCACAUGAAUGAAUGGGAACAGAUAUCAAGUGAUAGAGAAAUGUGCAGUACCUCAACUGCAGAAAACCAAAAGCUUUGGCCUAUAUGCUUGACUAACUCUGCAUCAUACUCUGAAGCUGUAGAUAGGGUAACACAUUUUUGUCCGUUCUCUCCCCUAAGGAUGCCAACACUAAUCAAAAUUUCAAAUGAAAUAUCUUCCAGGAACAUAUGCAUUUUGUGAAGGGGGGAAAAUUAUUAUAAACAAAACCCUUUAAUCCAGAAAAUAGACGAAAGAGCUACUCCCUCAUACCCACUGUACUUGGUUUAUUGUCAGAGUGAAAUGCAUUUAUAACUCAUCAAGGAUGGGCAGAUAAUUGCUACCACUAAAGUAUGAAGCAUUUUCAAACAGUCAAACAAGUUUAAAAAAUAUUCGCACAUUUUGCACAAGAUUAUCAAGUCAAGUGUAUUUUAACUCAUUAAACAUAGGUAAAUAACCUUGCUUCCACUAAUGAAUCUUUUGAUUUUUGAUCUGACUAUGGUUUUCUUUCUUCUUUCUAAUUUCUUCUCAGAUCUAUAAUCCUGUUCUUCCAUUAAAUAUCACAUAUUAUGAGCCCAAUCAUUCUUCUAUCAAGUAUCAACCCUCGAUCCACCCAAAAACAAUAUAAACUUUUCAAGGUUCCAAAGCCAUACCCAGAACAUUUAAAGUUAUUAACCCUAUUCCUUGAUCCUAAGCCCCAAGUGUAGUUCGUGCAAAUACUAAACCCCAAAUUUUAUGCCCCUUGCCACUUUUACUGAUAAUAGGGAUGUGAUCCAAAAAAUGGUUCCUGCAUCACUGUUGCUGCACCUGGAUGCCUACUAUACCUGGGGGUAAUCCAAUUAUCUAUUGUAUGUGAAUGUUCUUUUAAAUAUACUUGAGCUGAGACCUUGCAGCAUUUAUUAGAAACUCUAAAGGAAAGAUGGUUUUUGCCUUUUCUUUCUUCUACGGAGUAGGUACAAGAGCUGAGAGACUGGCACGACUAACAGAGUUGAAGCUUUGCAGACACUUAGUACUGCAGUUGAUUUCUGUUGUUUGUGACUGUAAUGUUCUCGUUGAGUUGUAAAUGGCUUAGCUGUUGCUCCUUGGCAAGCGGGUUAUGUUGUUCGAGACAUCCAAGCUCAGAUUCCUCCCAAGAGUCCAGCCUCAUCGCAAUUUUGCAGAAGCUACAUUGUUGCUGAUUCAUUGCCAUCUUUUGCUCAUGAGCAUAGAUAGACAAGCUUGUUACUACCAUGGUAGUCAUAAGCAUCACCCUCUGUGUAAGAAUGCAGUUUAAUCAGAUUCACAAGGAAUGGGCCUCAGUUCCUUUAUAUUCCUAGAUUUGGCAGUUAUGAGCAUUUUACCCUUAUCUUGUAUCUACAUUCGGACCUUUUUUAGAGACAAGGUAUUUGAGUUCCCCCAUUUCUAUUCCCUUUUUAUCUAUGAAACAAUAAGUUUUCAGGAGCCUGUUCCCUACAAUAACUAAAGAAAACUUCUGAUGGUCAGCUUCCUGGUGGAUCUAAGACGAGUUUCAUUGGGCUUCAUCAAUACUUUCUGUUCACGGCUACAGGAAACUUAGUUCAGAAGUCGAUCUUUCACAUGUACUCAAUGGUGUGAAAACAGCUCCCUCUGGCAGGUGAUCAUGUUCCUCAUUCAUCAAAAUGACACCUGAAGGCCCCUUCAUGUUGGAGGUAUUGUAAGAAAUUAAGGCAAUAUAAAUAGUACUACUUCUUAUCAACACUUUCUAAAGCAAGAUCUCAUUUUGUUUUUCUGAAGUCAAUUUAUUUUUAGUGAGGUUAAUUUUGUUUCACAAUCAUAUGUACAUACAUACUGAUUUUUCUGGGAUAAUUUGAUUUCUUGAGACAAUUUUUUCCUAUGUGAAUUUGUAUAGGUUUUCAUAGAAUGGGAAGGGGAAAAAACUCUAAACAGAGAGUUUAUCUGGUAACUAUUCUUAAUUGUGGUACAUUUAGUUAAAUGGC